rnacentral:lncRNA from 1 species
GCUUUGUUUGGUUGUUGUUCAAGACUUCUAAGCACCCUCAAGUACAGUAGUUGGUGUUAUAUGAUGAUGAUGUUGGUGAGCUGUCGCUUAGGAUGAUGAUCGUGACACUAGGGCGGACCUGUGCCUUAGAGACUUAAAAUAAAGAUGGAACUAGUUUAAUUAUGUUCUGAACUCUUUAUUUCCUGUUUUGAGACAAUGUAACACUCUUGUUUGAUGAAUAAAAUGUAACUUUAAUUUUCGUGGUUGUGAAACAAUAAUUCUGU